CGUACACUCCUACGGGAGGCAGCAGUGGGGAAUAUUGCACAAUGGGCGCAAGCCUGAUGCAGCGACGCCGCGUGGGGGAUGAAGGCCUUCGGGUUGUAAACUCCUUUCGCUAGGGACGAAGCUUUUUUGUGACGGUACCUAGAUAAGAAGCACCGGCUAACUACGUGCCAGCAGCCGCGGUAAUACGUAGGGUGCGAGCGUUGUCCGGAAUUACUGGGCGUAAAGGGCUCGUAGGUGGUUUGUCGCGUCGUCUGUGAAAUUCUGGGGCUUAACUCCGGGCGUGCAGGCGAUACGGGCAUAACUUGAGUGCUGUAGGGGUAACUGGAAUUCCUGGUGUAGCGGUGAAAUGCGCAGAUAUCAGGAGGAACACCGAUGGCGAAGGCAGGUUACUGGGCAGUUACUGACGCUGAGGAGCGAAAGCAUGGGUAGCGAACAGGAUUAGAAACCCCGGUAGUCC
rnacentral:rRNA from 1 species